rnacentral:lncRNA from 1 species
AUGUGGCUACAAAAUGGAGGAAAAAGCAUUGGAUCUCGGUCGUUGGGAGUCUCAGUGGCACUGCACCUUUUACCAAGUAAGCUUCGGUCAUGCCCUGAAGCCUUCCAUGACCUCCUACUGUUGACCAAACUAGCAGCCUGUGUCCUGUUUGAAGAGCUACUGCGGCAGAAGCCGCUGCCUCCAAGCGCUUACGGGAUUUAUCUCUAAAUUAAUAUUUUCAUCGAACACCCUCACGAUACACCUUACAUAAUCUUUAAAUUAUAGGGAAACGCUAGAAGGGUGUUCUGCAAGUCACUGGCUGGAGUCCUGCGAGAGAUUUAUGGCUCUCUCAAGUCGACAUUUGUGACUGACCUACAGCACACCAGGGCUGCUAUUUCCCUUUCCUGAUUCAUGAUAAGUGCAGCUGCCUCCAAAUAAGCCUCCCGAGCCCAUUAAUGCUCAGUCCAUUCCCUUCUGGUAAAUACGCACAUCCCCAGCCUCACUUUUGAAUGUUCAGCGGCGACAAAGUUGAAUAGAAAAUCAGGUUGCCUUUUCCUGUUCGAAACCCUUUGCCAAGUGCCUUGUCACCAGAACGUGGGCGCCCCAGAGUCCAACUUAACCUCUGGCUCUAAUUAAGGAGAUACUUUCCAAUAUAGUUUACUCUCGCAAAAAUAGCAAGAUUGUUUUCCCCUGGCAACACGGGUUUUAAGGUCCUACACUGGGACGCCUUCCGUGUUUUGCUGCCAGCACCAUAGCUAAUUAACAAAAUUGCAUAAAGAUUGAUAUGAAGGUAAAUAUUAAAGGCACAAAAGGGAAGGGAAGGCAAAUUAUUUAAAAUGUCAGAAAAGCCAAGACAUUCAUCUUCCCUGCCGCAAUUUGUUUUUCAUUAAUAAAAUAUACAUUGUUUUCCGCUCGGAAAAGUUA